UAUUAAAAAUUUCAUCUAUUUGUAUUAUUAAAAACUGGCGAGGUUGUAGGAAUAACUAGAUAUUGACACGUGGCAUGUCAUGUGUACCUCAUGCUGACAAAUAGUGACCCGUUUUUAAUAGUUGAAAUGGAUGGAAUUUUUAACA
rnacentral:pre_miRNA from 1 species